rnacentral:rRNA from 1 species
UACGUAGGUGACCAGCGUUGUCCGGAUUUACUGGGCGUAAAGAGCGCGCAGGCGGUCGUUCAAGUCGAGUGUGAAAGCCCCCGGCUCAACUGGGGAGGGUCACUCGAUACUGAUCGACUUGAAGGCAGGAGAGGGUAGUGGAAUUCCCGGUGUAGUGGUGAAAUGCGUAGAUAUCGGGAGGAACACCAGUGGCGAAGGCGACUACCUGGCCUGUUUCUUGACGCUGAGGCGCGAAAGCUAGGGGAGCAAACGGG